CAGCCGCCGCGGUAAUACCGGCGGCCCGAGUGGCGGUCACUAUUAUUGGGCUUAAAGCGUCCGUAGCCGGGUUGGGAAGUCCUCCGGGGAAUCUGGCCGCUUAACGGUCAGAAUGCCGGAGGAUACUCCCAGCCUAGGGAGCGGGAGAGGCCGAGGGUAUUCCCGGAGUAGGGGGGAAAUCCUAUAAUCCCGGGAGGACCACCUGUGGCGAAGGCGCUCGGCUGGGACGCGUCCGACGGUGAGGGACGAAGGCCAGGGGAGCAAACCGGAUUAGAUACCCGGGUAGUCCUGGCUGUAAACGAUGCGGACUUUGUGUCGGACAAGCUAUGAGCUUGUCCGGUGCCGGAGGGAAACCGUUAAGUCCGCCGCCUGGGGAGUACGGCCGCAAGGCUGAAACUUAAAGGAAUUGGCGGG
rnacentral:rRNA from 1 species